GCAGGAUUUCCUUUUCCUUCGGAUCGUUUGGUCAUCUCGUUCCCUGCUCUUUUGCAUGUCCCCUACCUUUGUUCGUCUAAUCGUGUUCAAGAUCUGAACUCUACCUCCUGACAACCGACGCGAUGACCGCGGCAGGGAUCUGUUUUCAGGUGAUCAAAUCAUUGCGCACACAUAGCUAAAUUAGACUACAGAGAGAAGCACCGUCAUAUCGGGUUUAGGUAGAAAGUAUCCAUCCGGAUGUGAUAAAAGAAAACGUAAGGAGGUACUAGAUGAGAUGAAAGCAUCAUUGAGAGAGGAUCCUUAAUACCAGAAGACAAUGUUGACGUCAACAUGGAUGAUAUCAAUAGGUGGAAGAAAUCUUUUGAGGCCAAACCGCAGGGAGGACGACGGUCAACAAUGGGUACAGGUUCUCAAGGUCCCAGGGAACUAGGUACAGGUGCGGCUGCGUGCUCGUGGCGCAUCCAAAGUACAGCAGCGGCGCCAAAGCUGCCACUUUCUCCCUAUCCGUAAAUGUUUGAUAUGGCCAGCGGCAACAUGAUUUGUUUCUAUAUAAUCAUCUCAACACAAUAGGGAACUCACUAUAUUCGGAUUGCUUUUCUUUCUGUCCAUCAUUGGAUUUCACUAUGGUCUUAAUCAGGUCCAAUUUUAUCAUUUUGUGUUGUUUUCAUGAACAUCUCAGAUCUCAUAAUACUGUAUGCAUCAUUGUCGGGCGGCUUGUUAUUCCUCUUCUUUUUUCACAUGAUUGUACUUUAUGAAUGACUAGUUAACUGACUGGACCCUUUUGCAUUGACUAGCAUUUUUUUACCAACCUAU